GACGAACGCUGGCGGCGUGCCUAACACAUGCAAGUCGAGCGAACGGACGAGAAGCUUGCUUCUCUGAUGUUAGCGGCGGACGGGUGAGUAACACGUGGAUAACCUACCUAUAAGACUGGGAUAACUUCGGGAAACCGGAGCUAAUACCGGAUAAUAUUUUGAACCGCAUGGUUCAAAAGUGAAAGACGGUCUUGCUGUCACUUAUAGAUGGAUCCGCGCUGCAUUAGCUAGUUGGUAAGGUAACGGCUUACCAAGGCAACGAUGCAUAGCCGACCUGAGAGGGUGAUCGGCCACACUGGAACUGAGACACGGUCCAGACGCCUACGGGAGGCAGCAGUAGGGAAUCUUCCGCAAUGGGCGAAAGCCUGACGGAGCAACGCCGCGUGAGUGAUGAAGGUCUUCGGAUCGUAAAACUCUGUUAUUAGGGAAGAACAUAUGUGUAAGUAACUGUGCACAUCUUGACGGUACCUAAUCAGAAAGCCACGGCUAACUACGUG
rnacentral:rRNA from 1 species